UUUAGCAUUAUCUUUCACUUUGUCCUUCCCAAGAAUUUCUUCUACUAAAGUAACAUACUCUGAAGUUGUUGAGAUCUUUCGUUCUUUUCUUGGUCGGUUUUCCUACUUGUCUAGCAGAAUAAUAUUCAGUUAGUCCUCCUCUUUGAUACUCUACUAUCACUCAAGAAUCAAGAUUGCAAAACACGGGCUUGUUUAUAACCGAGCAAUGAAUGAACAGGAGAAACAUAAGGCCAAUCCUGUGUUUAGAAGGUCCAUUUCCCGGAUGCGUAGUCCAUCAUCACUAUCCAUUGCAGUGAACUCCCUGGAACCUGAUGACCACAAAUUUUCUAAUACACACGGCUGGGCAAGGAGAAUUCUAUCUUCACUGAAUCAAUGCAUUCCGGGGGUAAUGAAUCCUUAUGCUCAAAUAGUUCAAAAAUGGAACAAUAUCUUGAUCUUCUCGUAUUUGUUUUCUGGUUUAUUUGACUCUCUGUUUCUUUUUCUGCUAUCCGCAAAGCAAGGGAACAAUUGCAUAGCUGUUAAUCAGACAACCACAAAAGCACUUAUAUUUCUGCGAAGCGUGACUAAUUUUUUUUACUUAUUGCGUAUACUUGUUAAGUUUAGAUUGGCUUAUGUUGCGCCUGGAGACUCGGGUUCUUAUAAUCUAGUCGACCAUCCAAAGAAAAUAGCUCUCAACUAUCUUUCUGGUUAUUUUCUUAUUGAUUUUUUUGUAGUGUUACCUCUUUCCCAAGUGAUUAUGGGGUUGGUCCUCCAGAAAUCAAACGGGCAUUCUGGGGCAAAUGAUGUCGUGAAUGUGUUGCAAGUAGUGAUGAUUUUUCAAUACAUGGCCAUGCUAAGUAGAGUUGUUCCUAUGCUCGUUGAGAAUAGACCAAUGUCUCCGGAAUGUUUGUAGCCACUUUUGGUGUUUAAAGUAUAUAUAUUGUCAACAAAACGACCAUGGAAGAUUCAGAGAAGAUCCGGCACUAUGGAAAAAGUGGAAGGAUAACACCAACGCUACUGCUUGUUUUGGUCCAGAAAAUUUCAACUAUGGAAUCUAUGUUCAAGCUGUUAGUCUGACAACAAAAUCUCUACCAAUGAGGUACAUAUACUCGCUAUUUUGGGGGUUCCAGCAAAUUAGUACUUUGGCUGGAAAUCAAACUCCAGCUUUCUCUGUGUUGGAAGUGCUCUUCACAAUGUUCAUCACUGCGACGGGUCUUCUGCUCUUCUCUCUUCUCAUCGGAAAUAUGCAGAACUUUGUACAAGCUCUGGGGCGCAGGAGUUUAGAAAUGUUUGUAAGGCGUUUGGAUGUUGAGCAAUGGAUGAGCCAUAUGAAGUUUCCAGACAAACUUAAAAUGGAAGUUUAUGAUUCAGAACGAUAUGAAUGGACUGUCACGAGAGGCCUAAAUGAAUCGAUGCUAAUGGAGAAUCUACCUGAAGUCCUCCAAAAAAAUAUACGUCGACAUCGCUUUGAAUUUGUCAGAAAAUCCCCAAUCUUUUCUCUGAUGCAUGAUUCCAUCUUAGAUGCCAUAUUUGAAAGACUGAAACGAAAAACAUAUCUCAGGGGACACAGAAUUAUGGUUUGUGGAGAUCUAAUUGAUAAAAUGUUUUUCAUUGUUCAAGGAAAGCUUGAGAUCAUUGGUAAAGAUAAGAAUGUAGCUCCUUUGCACGAAGGGGAAGUUUGUGGUGAAGAACUAAUUACUUUGUGCCUUGAGCAUAUUGCUUCAAAUGGAAUCUGAGAAAAAAAUUACGAUUCCAGCACACAGACUGGUAAGCAAUAGGUUGGUAAGAUGCUUAACAAAUGUACAAGCAUACACAAUCCAAGUUGCAGACCUUGAGGAAGUCAUUAGUCUUUACUCCGGCUUUCUGAGUAAUAAUCCUCAUAUUCAAGGUGCCAUCAGGGAGGAAGUUCCUGAUCGUCGGCAGGGCCUUGCUCGCAGCAAAUCGCUUUAAACUUUCACAGAGAAGUAGGGAUGAGCGGAUGUAACUUGGAACUCGUUUUAAACUUAUGUAGCUAGGAUAAAUUAGCUGGAUAACAUAAAUUAUGUCUACAUGUACUCUACUUGAUAUGUGCCUCCCGAUCAAACACUGGUGCAAGUAUGAACUAGUUCCAAAGAAUGGAAUGGAUGAAGGAAUGAAAUUUCUUAACAAUUGUCCUUAAUAUAGUUCAUUUUUCAUUAUAUU